rnacentral:lncRNA from 1 species
UGAUGAAUCUCUGCCUAUACGUUAUUGAUAUAGGUUGUUUACAAUUUGAAAUUUACAAUUUGGAAUAGUAAUCAAAAUUUACAUCUAAUAAGGUUAUUUUAUACGACUUUCAAGAUGAUCAAUAAUUCAUAUCACAAUUUCUGAUUUUUUGCUCUUUUCUUAGAUAAACGAGGCGAUCUAACCAAGUAGCUAGGUAAAUUCUACAAAUAGUCAUAUGUAUAAUUUAUUAUCAGAGUCAUAUAAUUAUAUUUUCUAACAUAAAAAUUAUAGAACUUUGCCACUCAAAUAAUAAAAGUUACAAUUGUCAGCAGUGGCGGAUCCAAGAUUUGAAAGUAAUGGGUACUCCAUUACUUUUGACAUAGAGUUGCUAUAACCAAAAUGUAUAAGUACACACUAUUUCAAAUAGGAAUUUUUACAUUCCUUUCCCACUUAUGAAAUCUUUUUAUCUUACAUAUUUAAGGUUUCAUUUAAUUACAUUUAACAUACUAAACUACCAUUUCUAUACAAUAUCUAAUUAAGGUUAUAAUUAAUGUGAUAUUUUAUACUCCUUAAUUUAAAUCUUUCCGUUAUUUUACAUUACUAAUCCUCACUUUCUCUCUCCUAACCCCUCAUCCCAAUACCCCUCACGUUCUUUUUACCCUUCCACACUUCUUUCUCCAUUAUCCUUCUUCUGAAACCACCCACUUUCCCUCUAAAUUCAAACAAAAUUCAAUAAACCCUUUAAACAAAUCCCUAUCCACAUUUUUAUUUAGUUGAAGUUUAUCAAUGAAGAUCAAGGAAGGUUAGAAAAAGAGAUUGUGAUGUAUCUGUGGCUGUUUUUGCGGAAUAUGUUAACCUUGAAGAUUUUUCAAUCCCUUCAGAAGGCCUUUUAGAUAUUGACCAACACCGUACAUGCUAUGGAGCUCUACUAUGGGACUAUUGUCACGGGAUGAGUAUAAUUGGCAGCUAACCCGUGCGGCACGUAGACAACUUUGCCAACGAUUGCUAAGUAAGCCUUGAACUUCUCGAACUAGAGAAGAAAGCAAUGAAGCCAAAUGAGAACUUGUAUUGCACUAAAGAGAGAUUUACAAUGCUUGAGUUGCUUNNN